GGAGAGUCAGUCUCCGGUCUCUGGGCAGCCAGCAGCUGAGCCGGGUCAGGAGCCUGAGGUUUUUGUGAGGCAAGGAUGGAAGAUCUACCAUGGUGACUACUAUGGCCUGGACCUCUGGGGUCCUGGGACCCUGGUCACCGUCUCUCAAGUCCAGACCAAGGCUCCGUCUGUCUUCCCUCUGGCCCCCUGCUGUGGGGACACAGCUGGCUCCAAGUUGACCCUGGGCUGCCUGGUCAAAGGCUACUUCCCUGAGCCAGCCACCGUGACCUGGAACUCGGGCGCCUUGACCAGUGGAGUGCGCACCUUCCCAUCCGUGCUGCAGUCCUCAGGUCUCUACUCUCUGAGCAGCAUAGUGAGCGUGCCAGCCAGCACCCAAUCUGUCACCUGCAAUGUAGCCCACCCAGCCAGCAGCACCAAGGUGGACAAGAUCGUUGCAGCAGGCUCAACAUCAACAUGCUCUACCACAACCCCAUGCCAGUGCCCAUGCCCAGGACCUGAUUUUCUAGGGGGACCAUCUGUCUUUAUCUUCCCCCCAAAGCCCAAGGAUACCCUCAUGAUCUCACACACUCCUGAGGUCACGUGUGUGGUAGUGGACGUGAGCCAGGACGACCCUGAGGUUGAAUUCACAUGGUAUGUGAACAACCAGGAGGUGCACACAGCCCGGCCAUCACAGAAGGAGCAGCAGUUCAACAGCACGCUCCGAGUGGUCAGCACCCUGCCCAUCGCACACCAGGACUGGCUUAAGGGCAAGGAGUUCAAAUGCAAAGUGCAAAACAAGGCACUACCUGCCCCCAUUGAGAGGAGCAUCUCCAAGGCCAGAGGGCAGGCCCUGGAGCCGAAGGUCUACGUACUGGCCCCCUCCCGGGAUGAGCUGAAUGACAGGCUGGUGAGCGUGACCUGUCUGAUCAGAGGCUUCUACCCUCCCGACAUCUCGGUGGAGUGGCAGAAGAACGGAAAGCCAGAGGACUUCUAUAGGAACACGCCACCCGUGCUGGACAGCGAUGGUUCCUACUUCCUCUACAGCAAGCUCACGGUGCCCACUAGUUCCUGGCAGUCUGGCACCACCUAUGCCUGCUCCGUGAUGCACGAGGCCCUGCACAACCACCUCACCCAGAAGUCCAUCUCCCACUCUCCGGGUAAAUGAGCGCUGGCCGGCAACCCCAUCCCAUGUACGCACUUCUCAGCACCCGCACACAAUAAAGUGCCCAGCUCUGCCCUCA